AAACAGAUAUGCAUUAGGUACACAUGCACAAGCUAAUGAGAUGUAGUUAAAGCGCCGCAUCUGCAGACUUCACCCACAGCAACAGUGUCAAUUAAUCUGUGGAAAUGCAGAUUGAUGGCAUUGCUGGUUAUAAAAUGCAAAUCUUAAAAUGUUCAAGCGAUGUAUUGGAAUAGCUUCAUGGGAGAGACUGUGCAGGACUGGUUUUGGUUAUUUUUAACUACGCUGGAAUCUAAGUUAUCAUUUGUGUUAAAUUUUUUUUUUAUCUGGGUAGCACAACCAUACCCCUCCUUGUUUUGUUAAAUAAAAUAUGUAAAUGCAUAUUUUUUUCCCCUUUACAUAAGAGGGGGAAAGACUGAUUGGAAAUUAAAUUGUUGAAGAGUGAUGCGGAACAUAUUCUGGAAAUUAGUUCUGGAACUACAUACUGCAUCUCAAUGGAAAAAAUGCUUUUCACCCUUUAUGGCGUAAAUGACUUUUUAUUUUAUUUUUGAUUUUUUUACACCCUGCUUUUGACCACAGUCGGCUCUCGAACCCUGUGAUCCCCAGCCAAUCAAAUCCAUUACAGAACCCGCCUUUGAGGAAUUUGACCAAUGAGAAGAGACCCAGUGUGACGUCUACUUCCUCCUUUGUGUGUUUGUUAUCCACGGAGGAGGAAUACCAUUGCUGUCAUGGCGGCCACCCCAGAGGACAAUUAAGUAGACACUAAUUAUGUUCCACACACCCCCAACAAGGACAUUCCAGGCCAAUGUCCAAGAAGCCUGCAGUAGAGGCGCUCCAUGACAGUCCCUGUGAGGGUGAGGAUGACGUGAAGCCAAAUCGUCAACACGGUGUUCACGGCCCUUGCGGUGGUCCCUCAGCUUUACGUCAUGACAAGGCCCGCAUCGGCAAGAUACUGCAAGCAGCCCUUACUGAACAGCCUGGCCGCCUCCAUCGCCCUGUCCCUCGUCGC